rnacentral:antisense_RNA from 2 species
GACCAUGGCGGGCCUUGGCAGGGAUACCUUCGGGUAUGCCGGCGGCGCGGGUGUGCCGGUUCGCCAACCUUGUCUUGUGCCCGCCACCUCC